AUAUUCCCAAAAAUCCAGCCCGGAUCUCUCUUCCCCCCACCGGGAGCAUUCCCGGAUUUUUCCAUCCUUUCCCAGGGCCCCGAGCGGGACGCGGCUGGAGCCGUGGAGCGGGAAUUCGGGAAGUUGGAAUCCUUCGUCAGCCAGGUCCUGGAUGAAGCCGCCCGCACCAAGGAGCUCUGGAAUUCCCUGGGAUGUAAAUUAACCGACGUGCUGCGCGUUCCGGAGCGGAGACUCCUGGAGGACAGCAGGAACCUUCCCAUCGCUUCCGGCAGCUCCCGCUCCGAGCGUCUCCUGCUCUUCGACGACGUCCUGGUGCUGAUCCAGGCACGGCCUGCGCGUCACCACCCCGGAGGAGACGUUCGUCCUCUCCACCAAGGACCCCCAAACCAAGGCCGUGUGGCGCUGGAAGCUGGAGCAGGCCGUGCGCCAGGCGCUCAACGGGAAGCGCGAUUUCCCGCUCUGGGGCGGCAGCGGCGACGGAGCCGAGGCUCCUUCCCGAAGAUUCUUCAGCUACGGAUUCCGCAGGGACAGCCGGCUCCGAGGGGCCACCUACGAGGGCGAGUGGCUGGAGGGGAAACCCCACGGCAAGGGGACGCUGAAGUGGAGCGACGGCCGCAACCACGUGGGCGAUUUCCGGGAGGGCCGGGAGCACGGGUGAGCCUGGGAAAACGGGAGCUUUUCCAUGCUGGAAUUUCUCAAGCUGGGCUUUUCCAUCCUGAUGUUUUCCAUGCUGGAAUUUGUGCUUGGAUUCGCCAUGCCGGAAUUUUCCACGUUGGAAUUUUCCAUGCUGGAAUUUUCCCUUCUGACCUUUUCCAUCCUGACCUUUCCCAUGCCGGAAUUUUCCAUCCUGGAAUUUUCCCAUGCUGGAAUUUUUCCCUGCUGGAAUUUUCCCUGCUGGAAUUUUCCAUGCUGGAAUCUUCCAUACUGGAAUUUUCCCUACAGGAAUUUUCCCUGCUGGAAUUUUCCAUCCUGAUGUUUUCCAUGCUGGAAUUUCUACUUGGCUUUUCCAUGCUGGAAUUUUUCCAUCCUGACAUUUUCCCCGCUGGAAUUUUCCCUGCUGGAAUUUUCCCUGCUGGAAUUUUUCCCGCUGGAAUUUUCUCUUCUGGAAUUUUCCCUGCUGGAAUUUUCCACACUGGAAUUUUCCCUGCUGGA
rnacentral:lncRNA from 1 species